UUUCCGUAGGUGAACCUGCGGAAGAAUCAUUACUGAGUGAGGGCCCCUCGGGGUCCAACCUCCCACCCGUGUUUAACGAACCUUGUUGCUUCGGCGGGCCCGCCUCACGGCCGCCGGGGGGCAUCUGCCCCCGGGCCCGCGCCCGCCGAAGCCACCUGUGAACGCUGUCUGAAGUAUGCAGUCUGAGACAAUUAUUAAAUUAAUUAAAACUUUCAACAACGGAUCUCUUGGUUCCG
rnacentral:misc_RNA from 1 species